rnacentral:rRNA from 1 species
CACCGUAUUCUGUACGGUAUCCUUAUCUGAAUACAUAGGAUAAGCGAAGCGAACCCGGAGAACUGAACCAUCUAAGUACCCGGAGGAAAAGAAAUCAACCGAGAUUCCGCAAGUAGUGGCGAGCGAACGCGGAGGAGCCUGUAUACGAUAGCUGUUGGGAUAGAAGAAGGACUUGGAAACGUCCGCCAUAGUGGGUGAUAGCCCCGUAUUCGAAAUUCCAGCAGUGGUACUAGGUAUACGACAAGUAGGGCGGGACACGUGAAAUCCUGUCUGAAGAUGGGGGGACCAUCCUCCAAGGCUAAAUACUCAUCAUCGACCGAUAGUGAACCAGUACCGUGAGGGAAAGGCGAAAAGAACCCCGGGAGGGGAGUGAAAUAGAACCUGAAACCUGAUGCAUACAAACAGUGGGAGCCUCUUUAUGGGGUGACUGCGUACCUUUUGUAUAAUGGGUCAACGACUUACAUUCAGUAGCGAGCUUAACCGGAUAGGGGAGGCGCAGGGAAACCGAGUCUUAAUAGGGCGAUCAGUUGCUGGGUGUAGACCCGAAACCGAGUGAUCUAUCCAUGGCCAGGAUGAAGGUGCCGUAACAGGUACUGGAGGUCCGAACCCACGCAUGUUGCAAAAUGCGGGGAUGAGCUGUGGAUAGGGGUGAAAGGCUAAACAAACUCGGAGAUAGCUGGUUCUCCCCGAAAACUAUUUAGGUAGUGCCUCAUGUAUCACUUCCGGGGGUAAAGCACUGUUAUGGCUAGGGGGUCAUUGCGACUUACCAACCCAUGGCAAACUAAGAAUACCGGAAAGUGCAAUCAUGGGAGACAGACAGCGGGUGCUAACGUCCGUUGUCAAGAGGGAAACAACCCAGACCGCCAGCUAAGGUCCCAAAUGACAGAUUAAGUGGUAAACGAAGUGGGAAGGCCCAGACAGCCAGGAUGUUGGCUUAGAAGCAGCCAUCAUUUAAAGAAAGCGUAAUAGCUCACUGGUCGAGUCGUCCUGCGCGGAAGAUGUAACGGGGCUCAAAUCUGUAACCGAAGCUGCGGAUGCGCGCUUCAUUAAAUGAAUUCAGAUAGCUUGCCGGAGCGAAGCGACGGAAAGCAUUCAUUAAAAAGAAAGUCGAGUUUAUUUAAUGAAGCGCGCAUGGUAGGGGAGCGUUCUGUAGGCCUGAGAAGGUGCAUCGUAAGGUGUGCUGGAGGUAUCAGAAGUGCGAAUGUUGACAUGAGUAGCGAUAAAGCGGGUGAAAAGCCCGCUCGCCGAAAGCCCAAGGUUUCCUACGCAACGUUCAUCGGCGUAGGGUGAGUCGGCCCCUAAGGCGAGGCAGAAAUGCGUAGUCGAUGGGAAACGGGUUAAUAUUCCCGUACUUUGAUUCAAUGCGAUGUGGGGACGGAGAAGGUUAGGUUAGCAAGCUGUUGGAAUAGCUUGUUUAAGCCGGUAGGUGGAAGACUUAGGCAAAUCCGGGUCUUCAUAACACCGAGAAGUGAUGACGAUUGUCUACGGACAAGAAGUAACCGAUACCACGCUUCCAGGAAAAGCCACUAAGCUUCAGUUGAAUCAGAACCGUACCGCAAACCGACACAGGUGGGCAGGAUGAGAAUUCUAAGGCGCUUGAGAGAACUCGGGAGAAGGAACUCGGCAAAUUGAUACCGUAACUUCGGGAGAAGGUAUGCCCUCUGAGGUGAAGCACUUGCUGCGUAAGCUUUGGAGGGUCGCAGAGAAUCGGUGGCUGCGACUGUUUAUUAAAAACACAGCACUCUGCUAACACGAAAGUGGACGUAUAGGGUGUGACGCCUGCCCGGUGCUGGAAGGUUAAUUGAAGAUGUGCAAGCAUCGGAUCGAAGCCCCAGUAAACGGCGGCCGUAACUAUAACGGUCCUAAGGUAGCGAAAUUCCUUGUCGGGUAAGUUCCGACCCGCACGAAUGGCGUAACGAUGGCCACACUGUCUCCUCCCGAGACUCAGCGAAGUUGAAAUGGUUGUGAAGAUGCAAUCUCCCCGCUGCUAGACGGAAAGACCCCGUGAACCUUUACUGUAGCUUUGCAUUGGACUUUGAAGGCACUUGUGUAGGAUAGGUGGGAGGCUUAGAAGCAGAGACGCCAGUUUCUGUGGAGCCGUCCUUGAAAUACCACCCUGGUGUCUUUGAGGUUCUAACCCAGGUCCGUCAUCCGGAUCGGGGACCGUGCAUGGUAGGC